rnacentral:lncRNA from 1 species
GAAAGGCAUUUAAAAAAUUAUUUUUGUCAAUAAUCUGAAAGCAUCAUGCAAAAGGAUAAUUAUUUUCAAGGCAUUUUAAACCUUUCCCAAAGGGAAAAUGUGCUUAGAUCACAGGGGGUUGCAAUUCUAAUCUUUUGUAAGUUUGAUCAAAGAAAACUUGCGGACCGUUUUUACCUCUCACCAUCACAAUCAUUAAUGUCUCCCUUUAUAACUGCCUAUACUUUGUUUACUUUGAAACAUCAGGUUGGCUGUCUUUCUUAUGUGGUUUUUUUUUUUUUUACAUGCUAGAACUCAUGCAGUUUCUUUUUCAGUCGGGAGUUCACAUCUUGUUCCUUGAAUAUUUUGAACAUUUCUUUUAAAAUUCUUCUAUAAAAUUUUUUUGUUUUGCACUGGUAAAACUGAUUAAAAGUUUAAGCUGGUCUUAACACACUCACUUCUGUAGUGUAAGGAAGUAUGAGAAGGAAUUUCUUAAUAACUGAGUUUACAUGGUUAAAUCAAGCAUAUAAUAGUUAAUAUUCCCUGUGUUAAAGGCUUUUCUAUUUGUAUGUAUAGUCCUUUUUUUAAUGUCAUUGUGUUGCAAUAAUUUAACUCCUUUGACUUACUUGCUAAAAAUUUUUCUUCUAUUUAAGAAGUGCUCUUGAUUUCAAUACCUAAACACUGAAAAUCAUGUCAAAAGGUACCCAAAGAUAAGUUUUUAUACAGAUACACACCUUAUAAGUUGUGAUUUAUUUUAUGAUUCAUUUAUCUAAAUAUGUUGUGUUCUGAAUGAAUCAUGAAUGAGAAUAGUUCUUUAUUGUGGAAUUAUUUAAAACUGUCCUUUAAAAGCAAAAGAAGAAACUAUAAACAUAUAAGUUAAUCUAGUUGCCAAGUUGGAAUUCAUUAUUUAAUUUACCUCCUAUGCAAUGAUUAAUGCUGCAAAAUGUAUGGUUAUGUUAGAGUAUAUUCACAAAAGAAAUAUUAUUACAAGGUUUGAGAAGUAGCCAAUUACAUCUUUUGGAAAUUUACUGUACUGUUUCAAUGUGUUAAGUGCCUUGUUGUAAAGUAAAAUUUUAAGUCUAGAAUUCAUUAUUUUCCUGACAUAUAUUUUUCAUUAUCAUAUAUACUGUAUAUUAUUGUAAUAGUUUUAUUAAAUGCUUAAGUUUUAAUUAAAUAUGUAAAUUUCAGAAGCUCUUUUCCCCUACCCACCAGUACCUUAAUCAUUGGUCUAUCAUAUGGGAUUUGAAUUCAGGUUCUUUUUUUAAAAGGGGAAAAUUAUCUUAGUUUAGAAAUAUGUUUUCCAUGCUUGUGCAUUUGUGUUUAUAAAAACAUUUCAGGAGGAAUUUAAGAGUGUAACUAUAGUUUGUACUUCAAAAUGCCAUUUUACAUUUACAUUUUAAGUGCCUAAUUGUUAGUUAAAACUAAUUUAUGUUUCUAUUCUAAAGAGAAUAUGUCUACUUGGUUUCUAAUCUCUUUGGCUUUGCUUAAAAAAAUAAAAGAGCAAGGGCCUAUACUUUGUAUUUACCCAAUAAACCACCAUGACAUCGA